rnacentral:rRNA from 1 species
UUAAGUUCGCCGCCUGGGGAGUACGGUCGCAAGACUGAAACUCAAAGGAAUUGACGGGGGCCCGCACAAGCGGUGGAGUAUGUGGUUUAAUUCGAUGCAACGCGAAGAACCUUACCUGGUCUUGACAUAGUAAGAACUUUCCAGAGAUGGAUUGGUGCCUUCGGGAACUUACAUACAGGUGCUGCAUGGCUGUCGUCAGCUCGUGUCGUGAGAUGUUGGGUUAAGUCCCGCAACGAGCGCAACCCU